UGACGACAAUGACCAUCCGGCGCUCGGCGAUGGGUGAAGUAUGCGUGGCAAAGAGAAGGAUAGUAACCGCCGCUCACUCUUCCCAUUCGACCUACAGGUCAGGCGGGCGAGCGCUUUCUCUCCGCACGCUCUUAUUUGUACAACUUUAAUAUUUAAUAAUUCGAAAAUUAUUACGACUAUCGCAAAUUGAUAUAAAACAUUUUGAUUUAUCUCGCUCCCACCUACCUACUCAUGAGAACAGUGCUACGGGACAAUCUGUAUACGUAUACAUAAAUAUAUCUAUGUAUGUUAUGCAUAUGUGUGAACGUUUUCCUCAGAGUUCAUUCGUCAGUUCAGGAUCCUCUUGAAGGCCUAUAGAAAAGGGCGGAGGAAAAGAAAAAGUGUUCCUUAAUAAAAGGAAUAAGGCUCACAUUAUCGCGAUGGCAUAAAUAUAAUUUGAUCUGUAAAAUUCCGCAUGCGUAAUUAAAGAGAUGAUUCAUUUACGUCUUGCUCGCUUUGCCUUUAUGCAUCAUGUGAUUACAGUAUCAUUUUUAUGCAGUGCAGUUAUUAUUGCAGCUAUGAUGCAACUUUAAUUUUCGUGCAUCAUGAUUAAAAACGACAAAAACGUGAUGGUGAGAAAGGAGCUGAUGAGGCAAAAGAAAUCAAAAUUUUAUUCCCUAAAUUUCAUUUGAGGUUUAAUUUAGUCUAAAGCAUAUCAAAGAAACAAAUAAAUCAAUCAAAGAUAUACGUGAAACAUUUCGCUCUUUCAAUCCUUUAUUUUUUUUUUAUUUUUAUUGUUUCAUUGGCUUAUUGAAUACAUUAUAGUAUCGAUAAAAUGUACAAUAAAAAAAGACUACAAAAAA